GGGAUUGCCUCAGUAACGGCGAGUGAAGCGGCAACAGCUCAAAUUUGAAAUCUGGCCCCUUCGGGGCCCGAGUUGUAAUUUGUAGAGAGUGUUUCGGGUGAGACCCACGGUCUAAGUCCAUUGGAACAUGGCGUCAUAGAGGGUGAGAAUCCCGUAUGUGACCGUGGAUCGAGCCCAUGUGAAGCCUCUUCAACGAGUCGAGUUGUUUGGGAAUGCAGCUCAAAAUGGGUGGUAAAUUUCAUCUAAAGCUAAAUACUGGCUGGAGACCGAUAGCGCACAAGUAGAGUGAUCGAAAGAUGAAAAGCACUUUGGAAAGAGAGUCAAACAGUACGUGAAAUUGUUGAAAGGGAAGCGCUUGCAACCAGACCUGUCCGUAGGUGAUCAGCCGCUGUUUUCAGUGGUGCACUCGCUCUGCGAUCAGGCCAGCAUCGGUUUCGGCGGCCGGAUAAAGGCCUUGGGAAUGUAGCUUCCCUUCGGGGGAGUCUUAUAGCCCUCGGUGCCAUGCGGCCAGCCGGGACCGAGGACCGCGCUUCGGCUAGGAUGCUGGCGUAAUGGUUGUAA
rnacentral:rRNA from 1 species